rnacentral:antisense_RNA from 1 species
CCGCUUCCUGGGAAGUAAGGCAUAACCGAGACCUAGCCUCCCGGUAGGGAAGUUCGUCCGUUUAGUGAACAGCCCCAACUACGUGCGGACCCUCACGAGGAUACGAAGAAUUAAACCAGGGCUGGACAAGUCAGAGUGGGCCAAGGACAAGUGAGCAUUCCAGAGAAUUUCUACAUGACCAGCUGUUCAUUCUUUUAAGAGGAUGACAUUCUUCAGCUCAUCUGGAAAGGAUACUUGAAGUCUGUUAUUCACAGUCUCCAAGGGCAGGUGUAGUUGGGAAAGACAUUUCAUAUGGAAAAACAAACUUGAUAGGGUAAAAAAAAACAAAAUGAGAUGUAAUCUGGAGGCCCAAGUCAUUUUCUUAGGAGAAACUCAAAUGUAUUUGGUGUUAUCUAACCUUCUGCAGUUUAUCAGUCUGAAACAAAUGCGUUCUAUUCUCAUUUGAAAAUGUCUGAACAGCCACCAAUUUUCAAAAUCACCCAUUUAAUUAUAACUAGAGACUUUAAAGCCCAGAAUUUGCAGUUAUGUAUUUCAGAAUGAUUUAGUAAUUUCGUGAGCAACUCAGAGGUUAGGUCUACAAUGUCUGACUACGCUGCAUUAUUGAAAAUAUCAGUAGUAUAAGGAUCCCGUAGAUUGGUGAUAACUUUGCUCUCAAUUUGUUAUUUCAACAGUUACCACCAACAGUUGGUGACUUAACAAAUUAAGAGCAUAGCUGCCAUAUGCUCGUAUUUGGCAAAUAUGUCAAAAUGGCCAUAUUUGCCAAUUUUUAAGACAAUAAAUUCACAG